GGUGAUUGUUGUGCUUCUUAUUAUCAAGUCUCCGUGGUUUUGUCGAAUUAUAUCAUGUUUGCUAUCAUCGAUGUGGUUUUGAUGUGGUUUUGUCGGAUUGAAGAACGCCAAUUCUGAAUAUGAUUCUUUAUGUGAUGAUGGCGAUUUUUGAAUCUUUUGAUCAAAUUCCUUUAUCCUUUUCAGCUGGUGACGGGGUCUCUGAGAUUUUUCUUCUACUUUCCUUUCUAUUAUUUGAUUUAUCUGGUAUUGAUCACGAAAAUAAGAAUUGGACUAUGAUUUGUUUAUCUGCAGUGGUGUAACACGUCUCUAUACUUCUUCCUUUUAUUAAGAGCUUAGUUCGUUUUCUUGAAUUUUUGGGUUGUACAGGGAAGACACACAAUGGAUGUGAAAUGAAGAUUAUGUUUUGUUACCCUUAACUUUUUUAUGGGUUUAUUCGUGACUGAUCAUUUGAUUUCGUAGUCUAACUUUGUGUUUAUGUUCACUCCCCUUCAGCAAUUGGAGUUUCUGAGAUUUGAAACCCUAAAAAGUUUAAAACGGUUGCAGCUCAGGAUAUCCCAAUUCUCUCUAUCUAUUGUUUAAUUUCUCUCUACUUGAUCUCCAAGGAUUGAAUUGUGUUCGACGUUUGAAUUAUUUUCCCUUAAUGUCCUGCAACAUCUCAUGGAGUAUGUUAUGAGGCCCCAAGGAUUGAAUUGGUGUUUGAAUUAUUUUCGCUUAAUGUCCUGCAGAGUAUGUUAUGAGACAUAAGGGUUGAAUUGUGAUUUGUUUCCUGUUUGGAUGAUUUGCACAGUGUCCUGCAUCUUAUAGAAUAUGAAUGACUUGGUUUUCGCACGGUUCUCGCGAGUAUGUUAUGGCCACCAUUCUUCCUUGGUUUUUUAAGUCUUCAAUUUAUCUUAUCAUUCUAUACUUCGUCCUCGAUUACCAGUUAUACUUUCUUCAAUUAUUGUUCUUUACAGGGGUGUGGGGGUAGGACAGGGAUCAAGUUCCUAUAACUAGUAAAUUCAUUUACGUGAAUUUUGAGUAUAAUUCUCUAUUUGAGUAUGAUGAGUUUUAUACCUUAUUGCUUAAAUUUCUUUUCAGCUGGUGGCUGGUUUUUUGGCAUUUCUUUUGCCUAUAGAUGAUAUGGAAAGCACACCGACCAAGGGCUCGACAUAACCUUAAGUCUUUUUUGAGUUUCCCUUAUAUUUUUUUUUAUGGUAUUACAAAAGGAUUGAACUAUGAUUUGUUUAUCUGCAGUGGUGUUUGGAUUAGUUGGGUAAUGUCACAUAUUCAACUUAUAAAGUUUCUGUAAUUAGUAAAUUCAUUUAGGUGAAUUCUGAGUACAAUUUUCUAUUUGAAGAUGACGAAUUUUAAACCUUUUGCAUAAAUUUCUUUGCACCUUUUCAGUUGGUGGCUGGUUCUCUGGCAUUUCUUUUGCCUAUGGAUGAUAUGAAAAGCACAAUAACCAAGGGGCUCGUCAUAACCUAAGUCUUUUUUGAGUUUUCCUUCUUUUUUUCUUUUUUCCUGGUAUUGUUCACAGUACAUAAGGAUUAAACUAUGGUUUGUUUAUUUGCAGUGGUGUUUGGAUUAGAUGGGUAACAACGCAUAUUCAUCGUAUCAAGUUUCUAUAACUAGUAAAUUCAUUUACGUCAAUUUUGACUAUAAUUUUCUAUUUGAGUAUGACGAGGAAAAUUACUUCAAUUUCUUUUCAUUUGACCAAGGGCUCAACAUAACCUUAAAUCUUUUUUGAGUUUCCCUUAUAUUUUUUUUAUGGUAUUACAUAAGGAUUGAACUAUGAUUUGUUUAUCUGCAGUGGUGUUUAGAUUAGUUGGGUAACGUGCAGAUUCAUUUUAUCAAGUUUCUAUAACUAGUAAAUUCAUUUACGUGAAUUUUGAGUAUAAUUAUCUAUUUGAGUAUGAUGAGUUUUAAACCUGUUGCGUAAAUUUCUUUUCAGCUGGUAGCUGGUUUUUUGGCAUUUCUGUUGCUUAUGGAUGAUAUGAAAAGCACAACAACCAAGGGCUAGACAUAACCUUAAGUCUUUUUUGAGUUUCCCUUCUAUUAUUUUUUUAUGGUUCUACAUAAGGAUUGAACUAUGAUUUGUUUAUCUGCAGUGGUGUUUUGGAUUAGUUGGGUAAAUUUCUUUGCUCCUUUUCAGCUGGAGUUCUCUGGCAUUUCUUUCUCCUAUGGAUGAUAUGAAAAGCAGAAGGACCAAGGGCCUCGACAUAACCUAUUUUUCUGCUACGGACUAUGAUUUGUUUAUCUGCAGUGGUGUAACACGUUUCUAUACUUCUUCCUUUUAUUAAGAGCUUAGUUCGUUUUCUUGAUUUUUUUGCUGUAUAGGUAGUUCGUUUUCUUGAAUUUUUGGGCUAUACAGGGAAGGCACGGAAUGGAUGUGAAAUGAAGUAUUAUGUUUUGUUACCUUUAAGUCUUUUUUGAGUUUCCCUUCUAUUAUUUUUUUAUGGUUUUACAUAAGGAUUGAACUAUGAUUUGUUUAUCUGCAGUGGUGUUUUGGAUUAGUUGGGUAACGUUGCAUAUUCUUCUUAUCAAGUUUCUAUAAUUAGUAAAUUCAUUUAGGUCUAUAUGAGGAUGACGAGUUUUGAACCUUCUGCGUAAAUUUCUUUGCACCUUUUCAGCUGGAGUUCUCUGGCAUUUAUUUCUCCUAUGGAUGAUAUGAAAAGCAGAAGGAUCAAGGGGCUCGACAUAACCUAAGUCUUUUUUGAGUUUUAUUUCUUCUUUUUUUUCCUGGUAUUUAUGACAGUACAUAAGGAUUGAACUAUGAUUUGUUUAUCUGCAGUGGUGUUUGGAUUAGUUGGAUAACGACGCAUAUUCAUCUUACAAGUUUCUAUAACUAGUAAAUUCAUUUACGUGAAUUUUGAGUAUAAUUCUCUAUUUGAGUGUGACGAGUUUUAAACCUUUUGCCUAUCUGGUAUUGAUCACGAAAAUAAGGAUUGGACUAUGAUUUGUUUAUCUGCAGUGGUGUAACACGUCUCUAUACUUCUUCCUUUUAUUAAGAGCUUAGUUCGUUUUCUUGAAUUUUUGGGUUGUACAGGGAAGACACACAAUGGAUGUGAAAUGAAGAUUAUGUUUUGUUACCCUUAACUUUUUUAUGGGUUUAUUCGUGACUGAUCAUUUGAUUUCGUAGUCUAACUUUGUGUUUAUGUUCACUCCCCUUCAGCAAUUGGAGUUUCUGAGAUUUGAAACCCUAAAAAGUUUAAAACGGUUGCAGCUCAGGAUAUCCCAAUUCUCUCUAUCUAUUGUUUAAUUUCUCUCUACUUGAUCUCCAAGGAUUGAAUUGUGCUCGACUAUUUUACCUUAAAGUCCUGCAGCAUCUCAUGGAGUGUGUUAUGAGGCCCUAAGGGUUGAAUUGGUGUUUGAAUUAUUUUCGCCUAAUGUCCUGCAGAGUAUGUUAUGAGAUUUAAGGGUUGAAUUGUGAUUUGUUUCCUGUUUGGAUGAUUUGCAUAGUGUCCUGCAUCCUAUGGAAUAUGUAUGGUUUUCGCACGGUCAUCGCGAGUAUGUUAUGGCCACCAUCUUCCUUGGUUAUUUAAGUCUUCAAUUUAUCUUAUCGUUCUAUAGUUCAUCCUUGAUUACCAGUUAUACUUUGUUGAAUUAUUGUUCUUCACAGGGAUGUGUGGGGGUAGGACAGGGAUGUGUGGGUAGGACUUUCCUCGUGGUUGGUUGAAAAUGAUGGAUGAGUCAUGCUUGACGGUAUGAAAAACACAAUGACAAAGGGCUCGACAUAACCUAAGUCUUUUUUGAGUUUUCCUUAUAUUUUUUCUUUUUCCUGUUAUUGAUCACAGUACAUAAGGAUAUGAUUUGUUUAUCUGCAGUGGUGUUUGGAUUGGUUACGAUGCAUAUUCAUCUUACAAGUGGUGGCUGGUUUUUUGGCAUUUCUUUUACCUAUGGAUUAUAUGAAAAGCACAACGACCAAGCAUUUCUAUUAUUUUUAUGGUAUUACAUAAGGAUUGAACUAUGAUUUGUUUAUAUGCAGUGGUGUUUGGAUUAGUUGUGUAACGUCUAUGUUCAUCGAAUCAAGUUUCUGUAAUUAGUAAAUUCAUUUAGGUGAAUUCUGAGUAUAAUUCUCUAUUUGAGGAUGACGAGUUUUAUCCUUUUGCAUAAAUUUCUUCUCACCUUUUCAGUUGGUGGCUGGUUCUCUGGCAUUUCUUUUGGCUAUGGAUGAUAUGAAAAGCACAACGACCAAGGGGCUCGACAUAACCUUCAAGUCUUUUUUGAGUUUUCCUUCUAUUUUUCUUUAUCCCGGUAUUGAUCACAAUACAUAAGGAUAUGAUUUGUUUAUCUGCAGUGGUGCUUGGAUUAGUUGGGUAACGUAGCAUAUUCAUCUUAUCAAAUUUCUAUAAUUAGUAAAUUCAUUUAGGUGAAUUCUGAGUAUAAUUCUCUAUUUGAGGAUGAAGAGUUUUGAACCUUUCGCAUAAAUUUUUUUUCACCUUUUCAGCUGGUGGCUGGUUCUCUGGCUUUUUUUUUGCCUAUGGUGAUAUGAAGAGAACAACGACCAAGGGCUCAACAUAACCUAAGUCUUUUUUUAGUUUUGCUUCUAUUAUUUAUAUUUUCUGGUAUUGAUCACCUACCACAAGGAUUGUAAUAUGUUUUUUUUUAUCUGCAGUGGUGUUUGUGUAACGUCGCAUAUUCAUCUUAUCAACUUUCUAUACUUCCUCCCUCUUAUUAGCGAUUAUCUUUUCCUUCAAUUUUUGGACUGUACAGGGUUUAUCGUUUCCUUCAGUUAAAUUCGGUUUUCGUGUUCAUUCCUUUUCAGCAAGUCCCGAGUCUGAGAUUUCUUUUGGCGGUUGAGGAACUAGAGUUUAGAAUGGUUGCACAUCAGGAUAUCCUAAUUUCUCAAUGAGUGUAUCCUCUAUUAUUUUAUUUAAUCUCAGCAGCGGUGUUUAGAUGAUUUUUGCUUAUUGUACUUCAUCUCAUGAGUGUGUUAGGAGGGCGACAGUGUCUCCCUUAAUUUUUUGAUUUAUCUAAUCAUCCGUUAUAGAUUUGUUGUAUUAUUGUUCUUUAGGGAUGUGUGGGCUUAUAGUUUUGUUGAAUUAUUGUUCUUUACAGGGAUGUGUUGGGUAGGACGUGGAAACCAUGUCGGGAUAUUUCUUGAACUGUGAAUCAUUCGUUUUUUUUCCUACUCUUACACUAGUUUUUUCUAUUGCAUUAGUUUGUAUUUGGCCAACCUUGUUGGUUCGAUUUUUAUUUUUUCUUCUUAGGCAUAACCAAAUAAAUAUUGGAGGGCUAAUGAAUGUCCUAUUUUAACAUAUGAUCACGACAAAUGGUCUCUUGGCAGCUUGAUUUUAUGAUCCGUGUCUCUAUGCACUGUGACCUUAGGCACUUUGGUGGUCUCAGGCCUAGAUAAAUUGAAAAGAAGUAUCUUGGAGUCAUUCCCUUCAUUUUAGUAGUGGUAAUUAGCAAGAGCUCAGGACUAUUUGGCUCCAAUUUUUUUAUUACAAAACUUUAUUUUGUCUUAGUUUUCUUUUUUUGACAAAUGAAUUUUCGGAAACAGUGAAUGGAGGUCCAGUGAAACUUUAGGUUUUAUUAUCUUUGCAUUCAUUAUUAUUUUCUUUGCGGUUAUUCUUUUGGCUAACCUUGUGGCUAAACAUGUAGAGUGGCAGUUCUUGUAAACAGGCACUAUAUGAGUAUGAUAGGCUUUGACAUUUGUUUUGUUGUGCCUUCGAUUAUCUUCUUCUACUUGGGUUGCAGUGACUUACUAUGAGCGGUUCCCAUGGUUUUCAAUUUUUGAAUUUACCUUAACUUUUCUUUACUCUGUCAUGUCAUGCUUUUAAGAAAAUUAGUUUUCUCAAAUCCCCAUGCUUCUGGUUGAGCUUUUACAGGAAAACUAUAGAUAUAUGGGGCAGGUUUCGGAAAUAAUUAUUGGACUUUACAGGGAAUUCAUGGGCUACCCAAAAUGAGGUGUGAAUUAUGUGAUAUGUGAAGCUCAAUGUUUUUAUUAACGGUACAUUGUAGUAUCUGAAUUAAUUUUUAACUGGCUCAACUUGUUGGUUUGAUUAUAAUCUUGGUUGUAUUUUGAUGGUGUAUGGUUCAUAAGUGGCAUUGUGAGCAUGGGACAAGUGCGGUUGGACUUUAUUUUUUGAUUUGAUAGUUUGCUUCUUGGUUUGAAAAGUUUAGGAUUUAGGGUUUAUUUGACGCCUUUUGGAUAAUCCUCUGAUAUAGGUCUUUGGCUCUUUAUUAGUUUUCCAAACCUUUGAUUCAUUAUUCUUGAUGAGUAAGCAUAUGGGUUGAGUUGUUGAGGUAUGAAUUUGUUUGAAAUUGUUUCAUGUCCCUGGAGUCUUAUUUUGACUGACAGCAAUGUCUCUUACUAUGAAUGACAGUAAUCUCUGAGCCUAUUAUGUGUAUGGAAAUUUUUGAAGUCAGUAUAAUAAUAUCUCACAACUUUGGUCACAUUUCUAUUUUACAUAUAAAUUAUUAACAAAGGGAGGAGAUAAAACAAGUUGUUAUGUAGUAGUAGAAUCUAUUUCUCUUUGAAAUUAUUGUUAAGGACCUACGAGUCAAGUUUUUAUAUUUAAUUUUUUUCCUAUACCAGUCAAUGAUAUAACUCAGCCGUGAAUCUUGAUCAUUCCUUUCUAUAUAUAUACCCAAUAUCUGUUUUGUUGGUAUUGCUUCAGUUAUUGUUGUGAUUCUUUACAAGGUUUUGUGGAAUUACAUGAUGUUUGUGUCGUGGGAUAGAAGAAUUAUUAAGAAUUAUUAGUAAACCGCUUCAUGAAAUUUGAUAUUAGUUUUUUUUUUUCCUUUUUAAAAUGCAGAGGUUUCAAUAUUCAUCAAAUUAAAUGCAUUAGUCAAAUGUUAAAUGCAAUAGUCACAUGGUUUUUAUAAUAAAAUUUAAAUAUAAUAAUAAUAUUAUAUGUAUAUAUAUAUUAUUUUUUAUUAUUG
rnacentral:lncRNA from 1 species